GGCAGUGGUAGCUCAGUGGCUAAGCCAUUGGACUACUGAUGGAAAGGUCAUGAGUUCAACCCCCAGCACUACCA